UACGGAGGGUGCAAGCGUUAUCCGGAUUUAUUGGGGUUAAAGGGUGCGUAGGCGGCUUAUUAAGUCAGUGGUGAAAUACUCUAGCUCAACUAGAGGGGUGCCAUUGAUACUGAUGAGCUUGAGUACAGAUGAGGUAGGCGGAAUUGACGGUGUAGCGGUGAAAUGCUUAGAUAUCGUCAAGAACACCUAUAGCGAAGGCAGCUUACUAGGCUGUAACUGACGCUGAGGCACGAAAGUGUGGGGAUCAAACAGG
rnacentral:rRNA from 1 species